rnacentral:miRNA from 1 species
GAGAGGGAGUCGGUUGCUAUCUUUGGUUAUCUAGCUGUAUGAGUGUUAUUCAGCCGUCAUAAAGCUAGAUAACCGAAAGUAGAAAUGACUUCCAAACCUGCGCGCCACCCUAAGAAAAUGUAAGCGAUAGACGAAGAAAGU